rnacentral:pre_miRNA from 1 species
UACAGAUGUGGAUAUAGGAGGGUUAGGUAAUGUAAUGUACACAACCCAUUUAAUUGAAAUGGCACGACAGCCUUCUAGAUUGUUACUAGAACGCUCCAGAUCUGCCUUGUUUAUUAAUUAAGCGAGUUGUUGGUAUGCUUUUUCCAACCCUUCUUCUAUCCACAUUCGUA